UACGUAGGGUGCGAGCGUUGUCCGGAAUUAUUGGGCGUAAAGAGCUCGUAGGCGGCUUAUCGCGUCGGAUGUGAAAGCCCGGGGCUUAACCCCGGGUCUGCAUUCGAUACGGGCAGGCUAGAGUUCGGUAGGGGAGAUCGGAAUUCCUGGUGUAGCGGUGAAAUGCGCAGAUAUCAGGAGGAACACCGGUGGCGAAGGCGGAUCUCUGGGCCGAUACUGACGCUGAGGAGCGAAAGCGUGGGGAGCGAACAGG
rnacentral:rRNA from 1 species